UGGGGAAUCUUGGACAAUGGGGGCAACCCUGAUCCAGCCAUGCCGCGUGAGUGAUGAAGGCCUUAGGGUCGUAAAGCUCUUCGCCUGUGAAGAUAAUGACGGUAGCAGGUAAAGAAACCCCGGCUAACUCCGUGCCAGCAGCCGCGGUAAUACGGAGGGGGUUAGCGUUGUUCGGAAUUACUGGGCGUAAAGCGCACGUAGGCGGAUCGGAAAGUUGGGGGUGAAAUCCCGGGGGCUCAACCCCGGAACUGCCUCCAAAACUAUUGGUCUAGAGUUCGAGAGAGGUGAGUGGAAUUCCAAGUGUAGAGGUGAAAUUCGUAGAUAUUUGGAGGAACACCAGUGGCGAAGGCGGCUCACUGGCUCGAUACUGACGCUGAGGUGCGAAAGUGUGGGGAGCAAACAGGAUUAGAUACCCUGGUAGUCCACACCGUAAAACGAUGAAUGCCAGUCGUCGGGGUAGCAUGCUAUUCGGUGACACACCUAACGGAUUAAGCAUUCCGCCUGGGGAGUACGGUCGCAAGAUUAAAACUC
rnacentral:rRNA from 1 species